UUAAGGAUGACUGCAUGGGAGUGACUGUAAUGACAGUGGAAUUUAAACUAGAUAAGGAGCAAAAAGGAAACGAAGAAGACGAAAGUGAGUGCAAAGCAAGUAGAAUCACAGGAAUGGUCUUUUCAGUAGGUUUUGAGGAUUUCUGAAGUCCGAGACAUAAAGGGAAUGUGCAGGAAGGAAAGGAGAUGGUCAUAAACGAAGUAAAGGAAAUUGAAAUAAGAGGGCUGUGUUUUUUAGUAAUGGCAAAUUAGGGUAGUUGAGACAGGUGGAAGACAAAAUCUUUUUUUUUUUCCUUUUUUUGGAGACGGAGUCUCAUUUUGUCAUCCAAGCUGGAGUGCAGAGGCGUGAUCUAGGCUCACUGCAACCUCUCGGAUUCAAGGGAUUUUCCUGUCUCAGCCUCUCAGAAGAGAACAUCUUCAUAGGAGAGGAGCUCUAGGAACUGAGAAUGCAGGAAAUUGGAAGAAAUAUACAUUAAUAGCCAAGAAUUUAGACAGGACUGGGGAGCCAGGAACAAACAUUUGAGAUGUUGGGCUUUUAAUGGAGUUGCCACGGAUGACAGCAUCAUGAGAAAUGAGGUUUAAAAAUGGAGGAUUGUUCGAGGAGGGAGGAGGGCUGAUCUGAAAGCCACAAGGAGGACAAAUGGAACACCUACCCCCACUACAGGCUGGAAGCUAUCUCCUCUGCAGAACUCUGUGCUAAUGAUAGAAUUUGCAUACUAAUGAUAAUUGCAACCAAGAAAGCUGUAUUCUCUUUCUACUCGAGAUAGAGAGUCUCACUAUGCUGGCCAGACUCGUCUCAAACUUCUGGGCUCAAGCAAUCCUCCCACCUGCCUCAAUCUCCCAAAAUGCUGGAAUUACAGGCAUAAGCCAUCACACCCAGCCAGUAAUUGACUCUGAAAGUAACACACAAAGAUUGGAAAGUGAUCUAAGUUCUGAAUUCAAAUAUCAACACAUGCAUUUUGCUAUUUCUUUGUUCUUUAAUUGCAGCAAGAACAAAUAACAUGAGAUCUAUCUUCUUAUCAAAUUUGUAAGUAUAUAGUAGAGUAAUGUUACCUACAGGCACAAUGUUGUACAGCAUUUGUUCUACAUAAUGUUCUACAGGUAUCUGUAGAACUUAUUCUUCUUACCUAACUGAAACUAUGCCUGUUAAAUGGCAAAUCCCAAUUUUCCUCUCACCCAGCCUCCAGCAACCACUAUCCUACUUUCUGUUUCUGCUAGUUUUACUAUAUUGAACUCCAUAUAUAAGUGGAAUCACAUAGUAUUUGUCCUUCUGCAACUAGCUUAUUUUACUUAGCAUAAUGUCCUCAAGGUUCAUUCACGCUUUCUUAUAUAGCAGGAUUUGUUUAUUAUGGUUGGAUAAUAUUCCAUUAUAUGUUUAUAAGACAUUGUCUUUACACAUUCAUCUCUCAAUGAAUAUUUUGGUCAUUUCCACAUUAUAGCUAUUGUGAAUAAUCAUACAAAGGAAUUGAACAGGGAGCCCAGAAGGAAACUCAUGCUUAUAUGGUCAACUGGUGUUUGGCAAGGGUCCAAGAAUACUCACUGGGAAAAAGAGAGUCUCUUUAAUUAAUGAUGUUGGGAAAACUGAAUAUCCAUAGCAAAAAAAUAAAAUUGAACACUCCUCUCACACAAUAUAUAAAAAUCAACUCCAAGUAAAAAAAACUUCAUGACAUUGUCUCAGCAAUUAUUUCAUGGGUAUGACACCAAAAGCACAAACAACAAAAGGAAAAAUAGACAAGUGUGAUUACAUAAAACUAAAAAGUUUUGCAAAGCAAAAGAAAUAACAGAGUGAAAAGUCAAGCUAUGAAAUGGGAGAAAACAAUUAUAAACUAUAUAUCUGAUAAAAGAUUAAUUUCCAAAAUAUAUAAGGAACAACUUAAUAGUAAAAAGGCAAGUAAGUCAGUUAGAAAGUGGACAAAGGACUUGAAUAGACAUUUCCCCCAAAAUGAUGUAAAAAUGACUAACAGGUAUGUGAAAAAGAUAUUCCCACUAACAGUUAAAAGAUAUCAUCACUCGGCUGGGUGCAGUGGCUCAUGCCUGUAAUCCUAGCACUUUGGGAGGCCGAGGCGGGUGGAUCACCAGGUCAGGAGAUCAAGACCAUCCUGGCUAACACGGUGAAACCCCGUCUCUACUAAAAAUACAAAAAAAUCAGCCGAGCGUGGUGGCGGGCACCUGUAGUCCCAGCUACUCGGGAGGCCGAGGCAGGAGGACGGUGUGAACCUGGGAGGCAGAGCUUGCAGUGAGGUGAGGUCACGCCACUGCACUCUAGCCUGGGUGACAGAGCAAGACUCUGUCUCAAAAAAAAAAAAAAAAGAUAUCAUCACUCAACAUCAUUAGUCAUCAGGAAAACACAAAUCAAAACCACAAUGAGAUAUUGUUUCAUACCUGUUAGAAUGGCUAUUAUAUAAUUUUUGAAAAACUGGUGUUGACAAGGAUGUGGAGAAAUUGGAAGACUUGUACACUGUUGGUGGGAAAAUCAAAAUGGUGCAGCCACUAUGAAAAAUAAUUUGGAAGUUCCUCAAAAAAUUAAACAUAGAACUAUCAUAUAAUCCAGCAAAUCCCACUUCUGUAUGUUUGUACAAUUGAAUUAAAAUCAAGAUCUUGAAGAGAUAUAUGCACUCCCAUGUUUAUUGCAGCAUUAAUCACAAUAGCCAAGACAUGGAUUUGAAAGAUAUUAAUACGUCAGAGAAAUUGUCCAAAAGGAGCUUUGCUCGGUAAAGAAACAAAGGGAGGAGGGGGGUGGGAUUUGUGUUUCUCAAGUUACUUCAAUUUUAACUAUUACAGUGUUUUGAAAUUUCUCCAGUGGAAAUAUAUAUUAAACACAAGUAUAACAGCCAACAAGUUUGACGGAGAGUUAACCAACUUUAACUCAAAGCAUCAUUUUCAAAUGCCUCCUCUACAGUGUUCCUUCUAGUGAAGUAGAUGUUUGGUUAUAUGAAGAGGACCUUUAGUGAUAAACUUUUACAAUAAACAUGAGUAAUCUAUGUAAUCAAAUAACUGUUGAAGAGUCAGUCUUCAAAUUUCAUAGUAUUACAAAAGUAAAUGUUGAUGUCCUAAAUUGUACUCAGGUUUUGUUCAAUAUGAGAGAAGUUAUAAUGUAAUGGAGAGAAUUAUUGGUCCUGUCUAGAUGAUCUGAGGAAACAAGAUGGAGACUGCCACACGAGUAGGAUUCUAAGGAAAUUAACUCAAUCUUGGCAGAGAGUUCUAGUUGUCUCUUCAGCAUUCAUGACCCCUCACUGUCCUCCUUAAGAAGAGAAAUCAAUUUUUAACUGAGCUCCUUAUCAGCUUGUGGUCAUAUGACUAUGUUCUGGCCAACAAGAUACAAAUGGACAUGUAUGAGACUUCUGGAAAACUGUUUAUAGAGAAUCUACUUCUAGAAGGAACACAUUUUUAAUUCUCUUAGCUUUCUUCUUCUACUUGAUCUGCAACUCAGAUAUGAGAGCUAAAGUUUCAGCAGCCAUCCUUGUCUAUGAGGAAAUUCUGAGGGUAAGAACUACGUGGUAGGAUGGAGGGGAAGAAUAAUUGGCACUAACCUACUAGCUCUGAACAACCUAUUUCCAGACUUACUGUGUAAUGUGACAUUUUUACCUAGAUGGCACUGUUUGUGCAAUUAUUUAAAUAUUUUAUUACUUUCCACUCUCUUUACUUAGAAAGUUCUAAAACAUGGACAAAUGAAAAUGUGAUGCAAAUGAUAAAACAAUACAACUGGCACAGAAGAAAUUCUUAGCUUUAAUUGUCUACCCUUUAGAUUUAUGUCAUCCAACUGUCUGCUUAAUUAUGAAAGAAAAUAAAUAAGUAUAAAUGGUAAACACAAAUAUAUAUGCAGUGCUUAAACAUAUUUUUGAAUAUGUUUAAAAUAGUUUAUAAGGAAUAGUUUAUCAUUUGACUUUUUAUGUGGAGUUUUUCGUAGAAAGUUUUAAGAAUUAAUUAUAAAUGAAAGCAGAAAAAUCC
rnacentral:lncRNA from 10 species